UUUCAAAACGCAUAUGUUUCAAUGGGAAAGCGCAUAGGGAAGAGCAAAGCGUACAUACACAUUUCUAAUUGAAGCUCUGCUCGAUGCUAGCUCUUCGCUUUGCUCGCCGCUCCACUAUGUUUUGACCCUAAG